rnacentral:rRNA from 1 species
UACGUAGGGCGCGAGCGUUAUCCGGAAUUAUUGGGCGUAAAGAGCGUGUAGGCGGUUCGGUAAGUCUGUCGUGAAAUCCUGGGGCUCAACCUCGGGCGUGCGAUGGAUACUGCCGGGCUAGAGGGUGGUAGAGGCGAGUGGAAUUCCCGGUGUAGCGGUGAAAUGCGCAGAUAUCGGGAGGAACACCAGUAGCGAAGGCGGCUCGCUGGGCCACACCUGACGCUGAGACGCGAAAGCUAGGGGAGCGAACAGG